rnacentral:rRNA from 1 species
UCCAGUAGGUGGAAGAAUUAGGCAAAUCCGGUUCUUCUUAACACCGAGACGUGAUGACGAGUAUCUACGGAUACGAAGUAACCAAUACCACGCUUCCAGGAAAAGCCACUAAGCUUCAGUUGAAUCAAAACCGUACCGCAAACCGACACAGGUGGGCAGGAUGAGAAUUCUAAGGCGCUUGAGAGAACUCGGGAGAAGGAACUCGGCAAAUUGAUACCGUAACUUCGGGAGAAGGUAUGCCCUUUCUGGUCAAGGACUUGCUCCGUAAGCUAGAGAGGGUCGCAGAGAAUCGGUGGCUGCGACUGUUUAUUAAAAACACAGCACUCUGCUAACACGAAAGUGGACGUAUAGGGUGUGACGCCUGCCCGGUGCUGGAAGGUUAAUUGAAGAUGUGCAAGCAUCGGAUCGAAGCCCCAGUAAACGGCGGCCGUAACGAUAACGGUCCUAAGGUAGCGAAAUUCCUUGUCGGGUAAGUUCCGACCCGCACGAAUAGCGUAACGAUGGCCACACUGUCUCCUCCCGAGACUCAGCGAAGUUGAAAUGGUUGUGAAGAUGCAAUCUCCCCGCUGCUAGACGGAAAGACCCCGUGAACCUUUACUGUAGCUUUGCAUUGGACUUUGAAGUCACUUGUGUAGGAUAGGUGGGAGGCUUUGAAGCAGAGACGCCAGUCUCUGUGGAGCCGUCCUUGAAAUACCACCCUGGUGUCUUUGAGGUUCUAACCCAGAUCCGUCAUCCGGAUCGGGGACCGUGCAUGGUAGGCAGUUUGACUGGGGCGGUCUCCUCCCAAAGAGUAACGGAGGAGUUCGAAGGUUACCUAGGUCCGGUCGGAAAUCGGACUGAUAGUGCAAUGGCAAAAGGUAGCUUAACUGCGAGACCGACAAGUCGAGCAGGUGCGAAAGCAGGACAUAGUGAUCCGGUGGUUCUGUAUGGAAGGGCCAUCGCUCAACGGAUAAAAGGUACUCCGGGAUAACAGGCUGAUUCCGCCCAAGAGUUCAUAUCGACGGCGGAGUUUGGCACCUCGAUGUCGGCUCAUCACAUCCUGGGGCUGUAGUCGGUCCCAAGGGUAUGGCUGUUCGCCAUUUAAAGUGGUACGUGAGCUGGGUUUAAAACGUCGUGAGACAGUUUGGUCCCUAUCCGCAGUGGCGUUGGAAGUUUGACGGGGGCUGCUCCUAGUACGAGAGGACCGGAGUGGACGAACCUCUGGUGUACCGGUUGUGACGCCAGUCACAUCGCCGGGUAGCUAAGUUCGGAAGAGAUAAGCGCUGAAAGCAUCUAAGCGCGAAACUCGCCUGAAGAUGAGACUUCCCCGAGGGUUUAACCCUCCUAAAGAGUCGUUCGAGACCAGAACGUUGAUAGGUCGGGUGUGGAAGCGCAGUAAUGCGUGCAGCUAACCGAUACUAAUUGCUCGUGUGGCUUGACUCU